UACGAAGGGUGCAAGCGUUACUCGGAAUUACUGGGCGUAAAGCGUGCGUAGGGGGUUCGUUAAGUCUGAUGUGAAAGCCCUGGGCUCAACCUGGGAAUGGCAUUGGAAACUGGCGACCUAGAGUGCGGUAGAGGGUAGUGGAAUACCCGGUGUAGCAGUGAAAUGCGUAGAGAUCGGGAGGAACAUCUGUGGCGAAGGCGACUGCCUGGACCAGCACUGACACUGAGGCACGAAAGCGUGGGGAGCAAACAGG
rnacentral:rRNA from 1 species